rnacentral:rRNA from 1 species
AACGCGAAGAACCUUACCUGGUCUUGAAAUAUAUCGGAUCGCCUGUGAAAGCAGGUUUCCCUUCGGGGCUGAUAUACAGGUGCUGCAUGGCUGUCGUCAGCUCGUGCCGUGAGGUGUUCGGUUAAGUCCGGCAACGAGCGCAACCCGUGCCGUCAGUUGCCAGCAAGUAAUGUUGGGGACUCUGGCGGGACUGCCUGUGUUAAGCAGGAGGAAGGCGCGGAUGACGUCAAGUCAGUAUGGCCCUUACGACCAGGGCUGCACACGUGCUACAAUGGGGGGUACAAUGGGACGCAAUGCCGCGAGGCGGAGCAAAUCCACAAAACCUCUCUUAGUUCAGAUUGCAGUUUGCAACUUGACUGCAUGAAGUUGGAAUCGCUAGUAAAGGCGUAUCAGCUACGACGCCUUGAAUACGUUCCCGGGUCUUGUACACACCG